GCGGUGUCAAAUGAUGGAGCAUCAUAAUUACGCCCUUUUUAUUGGCCAUCUUAUUCCAGCUAUGACUGAUGCGGCACCCAACCCUAAGUGUUUCCAUUUGCACUUUCAUGUGGCGGACGGGGAGAGAAGCCGCGGCUCGCCUGCCUUUCAAAGAGCCCUCCCCGGAGGAGGAAGCGAACGCAGAUCCCUGGCGUAAGACGGCAGAAAUAAAUCAAUGACCUCCCUCUACUGGUCAGAGGCCAAACUACAGUACAGUGAAUUAGCAGCCCUCUUGACUCUGGAUGGUUUCAGGACCAGAGGAGAGGAAUGUGGGUGAGGUCAUGCUAAUAGCCUGGGCUUGAGGUUGUGGCCGUGGGGGGAGAGGAGCCCGGAGCACCCUUGGCUGGCUGGAGGGAGGCGUUGCGAGUGCAAUAGUUUGUCUUGGUGGUCCAGUGUUAGUGCUUCAGCUUUCCCAGCUUGAUGACUGCAGACGUUAUCCGCAUCUGCUCUGGAUUUCUCCUUUCUCUCUCUCUCCCCCUUGUCUCCCAAUUGAAGAUUCUAUAUCGGGCCUGGUUGUGGUCUUCCAGAGAGACCCCACGACAAACUCUCAGAGCAUUUUUGCACUCUGCGAAGGGAGCCGGAUGCCAGCGGAGCACAUAUUAAAUUUGUUACUAAUUUUAAACUUGGCACGGCGGACCACGUACUGUAGCUGCCACUAGCUCACUGGAAGGAGGCGGUUCUCGGCCCCACUGCGACCACAACCACAAUACAAACAAAGCAUAUGGAACAGCAGCUUUAGUGUACGACUGACAGUAAAUGUUUAGAAAGGGAACUUUUUAAAAAUAACCCAGUGUAAUAGAAUUAGUGGCGGAGCGGCGCCUGGCAGCAUGUGCCCUCCUCUCUCGACUCCUGUACAAGAUUAAAAUAAUAG